GAGAGAUAUCUUUCUUCUUCUUCUUCUCUACCGAAACGCGUGAAGAGGAGUGAGUUUCUGCGGAUCUGAAUCGAAGCAAGGUAGCAAUCAUGGGUUGGAUCGGAGAAACAGUAGACUCGAUCAAAUCAAUCAAGAUCCGUCAGCUUCUCACCCAGGCCAUCACGCUCGGUAUGAUCGUGACGUCUGCAUUGAUAAUAUGGAAGUGUUUGAUGUGUGUGACUGGCACCGAGUCUCCAGUGGUGGUUGUUCUCUCGGGAAGCAUGGAACCUGGCUUUAAGAGAGGGGAUAUAUUGUUCUUGCACAUGACCAAGGAGCCUAUUCGAGCAGGCGAGAUUGUUGUUUUCAAUGUUGAUGGUCGUGACAUUCCCAUUGUCCAUCGUGCCAUCAAAGUUCAUGAGAGGGAAAACACUGGACAUGUUGACGUUCUAACAAAAGGUGACAACAAUGACGUGGAUGACAUCGGUCUCUAUGCUGAUGGACAGUUUUGGCUUCAUAGGCACCAUAUAAUGGGCAGAGCUGUUGGGUUCUUGCCUUAUGUUGGAUGGGUCACUAUUAUCAUGUCAGAGAAGCCUAUCAUCAAGUAUAUACUCAUUGGGGCAUUGGGUUUGCUCGUUAUAACAUCCAAAGACUGAGACAACAUACAAAUAAGCAUGUCUGUGGUCAGGGAAGUGGCUUCUUUAACUGCAACCCUCAUCAUCAUAUUUAUUUAGUCAUGUCCUUAAACCUAAUAACAAAUCAAAUUUUAUAAUUUAUAAAAUUUUGCCUUUAAGUCAGCAAUGAUUUCUUUUGUGACAGUUUCUUUAGCAGCAUUGCCUGUGACUUCCUUCCACUCAAGCGGAUAGCUUGAGUUCUGAAGGGAUGUACUAGUUUUUUCAAUUCCAAACUAGCAGGGCGAUAAGAGUAUACAAUAAACCUGGGUGUAGAAAUCUUAACCAAUAGGCUUAGGUAUUUCCUCAUCGGAAUUUAGAAGGAUUUUAAGUGAUACAUAAAGGGAUAUAUGUGUCAAUCCAUUUAUCACAAAUGAUUAUAAAAUAAAAAUUUAUCUAAUUUAAUAUGAUAUUAGAGUCGAAACGUUUCUCUAAUAUAUCUUCCAAGUAAAAGAUGGUUUACCUUGAUGAGAUUAGGCCAUGAAAGACGAAAUGGUUGGUCUAAGCCAAAGUUACCACACCUGGAAACCAUCUAAUGUUGGGCUUGGUGAGAGUUUAGAAAUCAUAUUUGCAUACAAAAAGGUAAUAAAAACAAUAACAUGGAAAUUCUGUUAAGUCUUCGUAGUAUAUAGAUUCCUAAAAUUUUGACCAAAUGAAAAAAUGAAUGGAUACAAUUAAAACAUUUAUGGAUGUAUUCAGUAGAAUACUUAUCUUCGUACUGAUUGUUUGUAGUGCACAGCGUACAUGACAACUGGAUUGUUUGAUAAUGUUUGUGAUAUAUAUAAUUUGAUAAUGUUUGUGAUAUUACGGCUAAAUUCUUUAUUAGCAUAAAUUCAUUUGUGAUUUUGAUUUUUGUCAUGUA